rnacentral:rRNA from 1 species
CCGGCGACCGGCGCACGGGUGAGUAACACGUAUGAAACCUGCCCGUAGCAGGGGGAUAAGCGGAAGAAAUUCCGUCUAAUACCGCGUAACAACCCAUGGAGGCAUCUCUGUGGGUUUAAAGGAAGCGAUUUCGGCUACGGAUGGUCAUGCGUCGCAUUAGCUUGUUGGCGGGGUAACGGCCCACCAAGGCGACGAUGCGUAGGGGUUCUGAGAGGAAGGUCCCCCACACUGGUACUGAGACACGGACCAGACUCCUACGGAAGGCAGCAG